UAGGGAAUCUUCCACAAUGGGCGCAAGCCUGAUGGAGCAACGCCGCGUGUGUGAUGAAGGGUUUCGGCUCGUAAAACACUGUUGUAAGAGAAGAAUGACAUUGAGAGUAACUGUUCAAUGUGUGACGGUAUCUUACCAGAAAGGAACGGCUAAAUACGUGCCAA
rnacentral:rRNA from 1 species